UGGUUUUUAAGCCAAAGUCCUGCCUUUCUUGGGGUGGCAGCUGACCAAUGACUGAACACCAUAGGGUUACAUGGGGCUUAACCAUUUCCUGCCCAAUGUGGGAUUCCAAGCUUCCUGCUGGGUUGGGUCUGCACUGCAGUCUGGUUGCCCCUUCUGCCUGGUUCUGCUUCCUCUCUUUUUCUUUCACACGUAUUACUCCCUGACAUGGCUGCAACGAACUUGGGCAAGGUUGUACCUGAACUUCAUAAGCUGCUUUGCAGAAGAAAAAAAAAAAAAGCUCCAUUAUUCAGUCACCCACUGGGACUCAAACACAUUUUCCAGUUCUACUGCAAGACUUCAAAAGGUGUUUGUUUUAAUGAACAUGAACAAUUUGGAAUGAUUUCUCUGGAAAGAUGAAAGAAACAGGGAGUAUGCCAGCUCCUGUAGAAAGUCUGUCCUUAAAAUGAAAGCAUGGGGGCACUCUGGAGCUUAGCGCACGCAGCCCAGUCCAUGUAAAGGAAGGUAGGGAGUUGCAGCAGCUGGACACUUUUUUGCACAUGGACACAUGGGCCUAUUCUGCAACGGACACUUGGACACGGAUAUGUUUUGCACACUGGACACACUGCACGUGGACAUACAGGCACAAUUUGCAUGUGCAACACAUUUUGCACACAGAUGCAUGUUUUGCACAAGGGCACUUGCGCACAUGGUCACAUGUUCUGCACACUGGCACACGGACACCCUGUGUACAUGGUCACACGCGCAUGUUUUGCAUGAGGAAAUAUUUUGCUCCUGGAUGCAUGGACGUUUUGCACACAGACACCAUCUGCACAUGGACACACCUCAGGUUUGCAAAAAGAACAUAUACUUUGCGCGCGAACGCUUUUGCCCAGCACAUUCAGCGAUCGCGGAAUGGGACGCAGGUGGACGCGGCGCGGCGCUGGCCUGGAGCCCAGGGAGCCGCGCGGGCGGGAAGGAAACUACAAGUCCCAGCGCGCGGCCACCUUGAGCCGACGCGCGGUGGCGCCGAUUGGCCCCGCCCAGCGGGCGGCGCGGUCCCGGCCCAAGUCCAGGCUCAGGUCCCGUCGGUGCCGGUGGCCGGGCGGCGGAACCGGGGCGCGCGGGAGCCGGCGGCAUGGAGCCCCGCACCGCGGACGGCUGCUUCCUGGGCGACGUGGAUAUGUCUCCCAAAAUUCAUCCUGCUGACAUUUUUAUUCUCAACACGAAUGAAUAAGCUCAGUGUGUUGAAUUCAGGACAGCGCUGCUAUCCCAGCAGAAGCGGAGACCCAUGGCUUCUGGGUGGAGCGCACCCCCGUGCACGAGGCGGCCCAGCGGGGGGAGACGCGUCAGCUGCAGCAGCUGAUCGAGAGCGGCGCCUGCGUCAACCAGGUCACCGUGGACUCCAUCACGCCCCUGCACGCGGCCAGCCUGCAGGGCCAGGCGCAGUGCGUGCAGCUGCUGCUGGCUGCCGGGGCCCAGGUGGAUGCCCGCAACAUUGACGGCAGCACCCCGCUCUGUGACGCCUGCGCCUCAGGCAGCGUGGAGUGCGUGAAACUGCUGCUCUCCUACGGGGCCAAGGUCAACCCCCCCCUCUACACGGCGUCCCCGCUCCACGAGGCCUGCAUGAGCGGAAGUUCUGAGUGUGUGAGGCUUCUUAUCGACGUUGGGGCCAAUCUGGAAGCGCACGACUGCCACUUCGGGACCCCGCUGCACGUCGCCUGCGCCCGCGAGCAUCUGGACUGCGUCAAAGUGCUUCUCAACGCAGGUGCGUUCUGUUCAUACCUGCUUUGCCCAGCGCAGGUGCGCAGUGUUUAUACCCGCUCUGCUCACGGCAGGUGUGUUGGGUUUAGCUCGUCCAUUCCGGGGCAACUCAGGAAAAAACCCAAACGGUUCAGAAAGAGAAAAAAAGAUGAAUUCUCUCCAGGUGACAGCCUUUUGAGCAUAAGUUAUACGUAGUUUUCUCCUAGUGAGUCUCACUCACUUUAAUGCACCACUUCUAAGGCUUUUUGGAGAACACAAUUUGCUCUGCAUAGGGUUGGUCCCUGGAGUGGUUUUUGUUUCUUAUGCAAAGAUAAGAUAUCUGGAUUAGAAGCGGCUGCAGGCCUUCCAGCCGGGCUGGUCGUGGGGUGGCUGGAUCCAGUUUCUGUCGGGCAUCUGCGGUUAGGGUUCCGCGCUCUGCAGGGCGUUUUCCUCUGGCUCCUUUCUUGUGGGUGGAGGAGGGCAUCGAGUCGGGGUUUGACCUUUGUGCUUCCUGAGGACCCCUCGGUAAGCAGACUCCUUUGGAAGCAGAAGGAAACCAGCUGAGACCGAAAGCGUCAGAACUAGAGCAGGUUUCAGGGUCAUUCCGACCCCGGAUUCAGCCGUGUCCUCAAGAACUCGCCCCCUUUGAAGUUCAUGGGUCUGCCUUGCUCCCCCUUCCCUCCAUCCUAGGCCGGCAUCCCUACUGGGGAGAAAUGGGCUGAGCAGAGGGGGCUUCCCUGCAGGCAUUGGCCUUGGGAGCCUUCUGACUGCGUCCUCAUCCCGGGAGAGUGACCUGCUCUCACAGCUUCCUGUGUCCACUGGCCCCAACUGGGUUUGUGUCCAGUCCUCUCCCAGUCCUUUCGGCCAGACUUGGCCACAGGCUGAUCUGCUGGGAUCCGCACAGGAAGUUCUGAACCCAACUCAAAUAUUGUGCCGAGGGAACGUUUUAGCUCGGCCACCUCGUUCAUUCUGAGCAGCCUGGGAGAAAACCCACAUGGUUCAGAAACAGAAAGAGGACCCCUUCCCAGGACCCCUGCCCCAGGCCGCAGAAUGGGAGCUCAGGGGAUGGGCUGGAAGGAGUGGGGGGCACGGCGAUGGCCACGACGGCCUCAACCCUUCAGUUAUGGAGUGAGUCUCCCUCCCUGGGGUGGGCGUGAGGGACGAGGGGGCUGCUCCUGGGGGUCCCUGUGGGGUCAGCCCCUCUGCCAGCUCUCUGCGGCGGACGUCACCCCUGAUUGUCUUCUGACCUCAGGUGGUCUCCUGUGACACCCCUUCCUGGAUCACAUGCGUUCUUUUUCUUAAAGAAAACUAUUUGUUAACCGUGGCAAAUCUCAAACAUGAAGAAGAAGAAGACAGCAGGUGUUUCUUUUUUUUGUCUUUUUAGGGCCACACCCGUGGCAUAUGGAGGUUCCCAGGCUCGGGUCUACACCACAGCCACAGCCAUGCCGGAUCCGAGUCACGUCUGCAACCUACACCACAGCUCAUGGCGACACCAGAUCCUUCACGCACUGAGCGAGGCCAGGGAUCGAACCUGCAACCUCAUAGUUCCUAGUCGGAUUCGUUUCCACUGCGCCACGACGGGAACUCCGUGUUUCUUUUUUAAAGUGGGAUUCUUAGCUUUUUGUGGGGUGGGUCACGGACCUCUUGGAACAUCUUUUUUUUUUUUUUUUUUUUUGCCUUUUCUAGGGCCAUUCCUGUGUCAUAUGGAGGUUCCCAGGCUAGGGGUCUAAUCGGAGCUGUAGCCACCGACCUAUGCCAGAGCCACAGCAAUGUGGGAUCUGAGUCGUGUCUUUGACCCACACCACAGCUCACGGCAACGCCGGCUCCUUAACCCACUGAGGAAGGCCAGGGAUCAAACCCGCAACCUCAUGGUUCCUAGUCAGAUUCGUUAACCGCUGCGCCAUGACGGGAACUCCGGAACAUCUGUUUUUUAAUUUUUAUGGCCACACAUGCAGCACAUGGAAACUCCCGGGCCAGGGACUGAAUCUUAGCCGCAGCUUUCGGCAUCACAGGACUGGGGAUCAAGCGACUGGAGCCGCUGCAGUCAGGUUCUUAACUCACUGUGCCACUGUGGGAACUCCCCCUUGGAACAUCUAACGAGAGCUGCGGACCAUGUCUCUAGAAAUGUACAGAGCAGGUGUUCUGCGUGAGAUUUCAGAGAGGGUCCCAGCUGGGCUGGGGGGCCCCGUGGUGCCUCCCCCAGUGGGUGCAGAGGCCGUGGGUCUUUUGUGUGCAGACCACACGUGGCAGUCGCCUGGACUUCCAGACCAAGCUGCUGAGCUGAGGAUUAUUUGUGCUGAGGGUGAAAGUCCAGUUGCUUUGGGCGGGGUAAUUUUUAAUCUGAUCCCUGGCAGUAAGUGCUUCGCUGUGCUGAGAGCAUCCAGAAGGAGCUGGUCACCCGUGUCUCUGCUGUCGCCUCAGCAAGUACAUCCCCAGCCCCUGUGCUCGCCACCCCGUCCGGGCAUCACGCUGGGUGCUUGGCGGGCAUGGGACAGCCCUCGUCUUCGUUUCCUAAGGCGGUGCUGGGUCCACUCUAAUCCGCUUUUGCUCAGAAAUCAGGCUUCUGACGGUGAGCAAACCCUGACCCCUUUUUCUGAUGGUGAGCUGCGGGGGUUUAGGGCCCAGCCAGCACCUGGUGCUUUGCUGGCUCGGGCUCUUGUCCUCAGUCCAGGCAAUGCCAUCGGUGGUCCCCACAAAGCCACUUUCUCCCUGGCUUCUCCGUCCCUUCUUUCUCCUGCCCCACCCUCACCCCACUUCUUUUUUCUUUUUAGGGCCGCGCCCGAAACAUAUGGAGGUUCCCAGGCUAGGGGUUGAAUUGGAGCUGCAGCUGCCGGCCUACACCACAGCCACAGCCACAGCCACGCCAGAUCCUUAACCCAUUGAUUGAGGCCACGGAUCAAACCCACAUCCUCAUGGAUAUAAGUCAGGUUCUUAACCCACUGAGCCUCCACGGGAACUCCCUGGGAACACCUUUUAAACAGACCCCAUCUUAUACCUCGGAACAGUCACCCUGCCGAGCCUUGUGUGCCAAGAAACCACAGUGGGUGGUAGGGACAGUUCUCUCCUCGACUGUGACAGUGACUCUGCUUCCCCACGCCCCCUUCUCUAAAACAGAGGCCAUCUCUCUCCUCCCUGAUUGGCAAGAAUACUUUGAGAAUUAAUGAUCUUAGAGAAAGUCACCCGGUCUUUAGAUUCUGCAGACUUCGCAGCUUAUUUCUCAUUACAAGUUUGCAUUUAACCUUCAAAUUCAUAUUUGCAUUGUGACUGCAACACCGUGGCAUUAUCUGCUCUCACCGGCAACACUGGAAGAAACCCCUGAUGGGGUAGAUUGGAUGGAUUGUGGGGGAAAUGCUUCUUUUAUAGGGGUUGAUUUGUAAUCCAUAUCUGCCAAGUUACACAACUAGGUUAUUCAUCCUGCGUCCUAACUGGGGAAUGUUUUCGCCUGAUCUGCCGUCUGAGUUUGGGCUGCGGGAAGUGGAGGGGGCUUUUCUUCACGAGUGCUACGUGUUGGCGUGCUUGCUCUUAGCAUCACAGGACCGCAGGAGGAACACAGGUCUUACAUUCCACCAGGGGAUUAAAAUGAUCUUAAGCCAGAAUACAGAAAGCAGGGUUUUUCGAGUAUUUUUGAGCAGAGGGACUAGACAUUCUAAGAGCCUUAUUCGCCCUCAUUCUUCCUGUUUGACCCUCCAAAUUUCCCAUUAUGGUGACACGCUGGUGAUCCAAUUUAUUUUAAGGCCCACCUUGAUAAUAUUUUAUGAUGGAUUGCAAUCUGUUACAUUGGGGCAACACCUUCCCUGAUGCUGGGCUCUUUGCUGCUUCUUGAAAAGAUUCUCCACCUUCUUUCUCUUGUAACCUCCUAAUCUACUCGGGAGCAGGCUGCGAAGAAGUUGGAAUUUUCUUUCAAAAACAAUGCUGAGGCUCCAGGAGACCCACUGGAUAGAAUCAUGAUGGCUGUGCCCUAAGAACGGGGUUUUACACAAAUCAUGUUCUCAUCAAAGUCUUUUUAUUUUUGGCCACACCCACAGAAUACAAAAGUUCCUGGGCCAGGUGUCAAACUCGAGCCACAGCAGUGACCCAAACCACCGUGGUGACAACGUGGCAUUGCACCACAAGAGGACUCCCUAUUUUUUUUGUCUUUUUAGGACCGCACCUGCAGCAUAUGGAAGUUCCAAGGCUAAGGGUCCAAUCGGAGCUACAGCUGCCGGGCUACACCGCAGUCACAGCAACGCCAUAUCUGAACCGCAUCUGUGACCUACACCACAGCUCAUGGUAACGCUGGAUCCUUAACCCACUGAUCGAGGCCAGGGAUCGAACCCGCAUCUUCACGGAUACCAGUCAGGUUCGUUACUGCUGAGCCACGACGGGAACUCCUGUUUUUGUUUAAUGCAUCUAAAAAUGCUGCUUUAGCUACGACCUGGCGUCUUUCUGAUCAUCUCCUGCAUCCCGAGGACGCGGUGGCUGGCCGAGCUGAACUCACGGUUAAGGUAUCUCCUCUCCAUCCGAACUCCAGGGAAUCUGGGGCAACCUUCCGGCUUUUCCCUGGAGCUUCCGUUUUGUAGACGGUUUCUUGUAUUUAGUGCUUAUUCAUUCACCCAUUUUUAGAGCCUCCGUCCUGUGUGUGUGUGGCGUGUGCCUGCCUAUGCCAUGUGUGCCCGAGCACACGUGUAUCUGAGGUGCGUGCAGCUGUGUACCGGUGUGCACACGCGUGUGCAUGUGUGUGUGUCUGUGGAGGACGACAGCAGCGCUUGAGCAGCUCAGCCGGAGCGUCCAGAACCUCAGACCCGAGGACAGACUGCCUCCGGCUUUAGAGCAGCCUCUCAACUCACAGGGAAGGUUCCUUCUUGUUCUUUCCGGCUCUGUUUCUAGUCGUAUUUCCUUUUUAAAUUUUUUUAUAUUUAUUUAUUUAUUGCUCAAUGAAUUUAUGACAUUUAUAGUUGCACUUUUUUUCUUUUUAAAUUUUUUUUAAUUAAAAAAAUUAUUUGUAGUCAUAUUUCUUGAUCGCUGCUCCCCCGUCCUUAGCGCUCUCAUCCUGGCGGAAACCCCAGGAGUCGCUGCUCCGGGACGCGGAAGGCGGCUUUGAAGGGGCAGCGGCAGGUCUGGAUCUUGUGUCGCGGGCGGGGCUGCCUUGGUGUCCCGCGCUCCUGGUGAACCCUCUUCCCGCUCGGCACCCGCAGGGGCCAACGUGAACGCGGCCAAGCUCCACGAGACGGCGCUGCACCACGCGGCCAAGGUGAAGAACGUGGACCUGAUCGAGAUGCUCGUCCAGUUCGGGGGCGACAUCUACGCGCGGGACAACCGGGGGCGGAAGCCGUCCGACUACGCGCGGAGCAGCAGCGCCCCCGCCAGGUGCCUGGAGCACUACGAGAAGACACCUCUGACCCUGUCCCAGCUCUGCAGGGUGAGCCUGCGGAGGGCCACCGGCGUCCGAGGCCUGGAGAAAAUCGCCAAGCUGAACAUCCCUGCCCGGCUCAUUGAGUACCUCUCCUACAACUGAGCUGCCGACACGGCGUCGGGGCCGGCGGGGGACUCCUGGCUGCUGGCCUUGCUGGGCCCAGCGACAGGGGGCUCUGCCCUGGCUGCCCGAGCCGUGCCACUGGUGGAGAGAACAGCGUGCCCGACCGCCCUGUCCGGUCUUCUCUCAGACGCGGAGGAAGCUCCCGAAGCCUUGGGAAGCCCUGGACCUCAGUCUAACUCUGCCAUUGUCCCCUGUCGUGCACACACCUUCCUCAGAGACUCAGGAGCACAGGGCAAUGCCGGGCAGGGCUGGGCCGGGCUGGGGUUCCACGGCCCUGACACUAAUUCCACACGCCCAGGAGCCACCCCCCCAAUCCUUCAGCACCAGGCGCCCCUGGAGUUCAAAGGGAGGAGGCUGGGUUGCAGGGGCGGGUCCUGGGGUGGCGGAGGGGGGAGGUCCUGACCGUGUGGCCAGGACACUGCUUGGGGACAGCCUGCCACGUGGAGGCCGUUUUCCGGAGCCAUGGUCAGCCCUUCCCGAGGCCUGCUGCGCCCAGGUAUAGCUGUCACUCAGGGCUUUAUAGGGUCUUAGGAAGCCUCAGGCUUUUUAUUCCCCACGACAAGCACCAUGUUUCUUAGGAAGUUUUCCUCCAGUUGGAGGUCUCGACUCUUCAAAGUUUAUGUUGGGGACAGAAACUCUUAGAGGACACACAGCUGUAACACUUAGAUUCUGUUAACGCAUCUUUAAAGCAACGGUAACAGGAAGGUGUCCGACGGGUAGCGCUGUGGGACACUCUUCAGAGACCAUUUCUUGUCCUUUUCUACAGUUGCCAAAUGAAUCCUUUUCCCACCCUCGAUUUUGCUAAUUCCUCGAAGCUCUGAAAUUGGCAGCCAGGCCGCCGGCACCUGGUGGCGUCUGUCAACUGCGGCUUCGUGCAUUUGGCAGAUGCGUGAGGAGCCCCGAUGACGCUUCGAGCUGGUCUCAGCGCUUUGAACCGGCGAGGAGCCAGACACGCCGUCCAGACAGAGGAAGCGGAUGCUGCCGUCUGUCCCUGUAGUGACAGAAACGCGUCGCUCCACCUUACAAGCCAUGAAACUAUGUGCCAUGUUCAGACGGCACCUGUCUGCCCAAGAUUCUGCACUGUCAUUUAAAGAACAAAACCCCAAACCCGGGCGUUAAACUAGAGGGCAUUUAUACAAGUAACUGAGGUGUGUUUGGUGUCGGGGCAGAUGGAGGCGGUGCCUUUGUGAACGUUAGAGUGGGUUGUGCCUAAAGCCAGCGUCCCCAGAAAUGUCCCUCCCCAGCUUCCCCCAGGGAGCGUGGGGAAGAGAAUGGGCCAGGGUAAUGCCAGCUGUGCUCCCCGCCAGAGGUGGCUCCUGGCAGGGCCCCUUGGGUGGAAAGUCCCACGCUGGUGGCCGUGGGUGUUUUCCAGCUUUGCUGGUCCUGAGCGUUGUCACAGGGCAGCUAAGCUGUGCCUGGAGAUAAGAGCCACUCCCAUUCGGCUGCAGCUGUAGAUGCACGUUCUAGAUCAAUCAGCGUAUCUGCAUGUGCCAGUAACAAUGGAAACACAAGCAUCGGGUUCUGCCCAGUGUGUCUGUAACAGGAACUUGCUUCUUCGCCAUGAAAGCUGCUGACUUUUCUGCAUGUGGAGCGUCCGGGGAGAAUCUGGCCCCCACACCCACGGCUCAAUAAAAGGUGUUGAUGAGAAGUC